rnacentral:rRNA from 1 species
GACGAACGCUGGCGGCGUGCUUAACACAUGCAAGUCGAACGGUGAAGCUCCAGCUUGCUGGAGUGGAUCAGUGGCGAACGGGUGAGUAACACGUGAGCAACCUGCCCCUGACUCUGGAAUAAGCGCUGGAAACGGCGUCUAAUACUGGAUACGAGAAGGGUUCGCAUGGGCACUUUCUGGAAAGUUUUUCGGUUGGGGAUGGGCUCGCGGCCUAUCAGCUUGUUGGUGAGGUAAUGGCUCACCAAGGCGACGACGGGUAGCCGGCCUGAGAGGGCGACCGGCCACACUGGGACUGAGACACGGCCCAGACUCCUACGGGAGGCAGCAGUGGGGAAUAUUGCACAAUGGGCGAAAGCCUGAUGCAGCGACGCCGCGUGAGGGAUGACGGCCUUCGGGUUGUAAACCUCUUUCAGCAGGGAAGAAGCGAAAGUGACGGUACCUGCAGAAGAAGCACCGGCUAACUACGUG